CCUAUGUUUUUGAAAAUAUAUGGAUGAACUAAAUCAUUGCCAUUAAAUAAAAUUUAAGUUUGUUGACCAAACUAGGUAGGUAUUAAUUAAUAAUUUUCUUUUUAAGAGCUGUCAUUUAUUGAGCUAUGCUUGAAACAGUCACACUAUAGGACAGUUUUGAGAUUUGGCUCAAAAAAGUAUAUAACAACACAGCAGUUUUUAUAACAUGAGGUCCAUGGAAGACAAAUAAAUUUUAAACCAUUUACUGCAUUUUAAAUGAUGUCAAUAUAAUUGCAUUCAUUUUUGUCAUGUGUGAAAACGCAACGUCAUGUCAGCAACCCAAAGAUUAAAGGCGCAAUGCUGCAGAACCAUGCAAUAUCUGAUCUCUAUUCAGUUUUCGGUUAAUGUGAUGAAGAUGGAUGGGUGCCUUCAUCUUCAAAGUGUCUCUCUUGUGUUGCUUUUUAGGGGCACAUCUUUUUCUGCAAGGCUAAUGUCAUCUUGAAGUUGGUAGAUCCUCUUGAGAUAUAGACGGCAGAGAGGACUUGAUGUGUUGAAUAUCUGAUGCCUUCCUCUUUCCCCGCUGUGGCCAUUACUCACCUCCUCGGAGAUGAUUGCAGAAGCCACAACAGACGCAAAAGAGACCGACACCGAAACACUGUGUCUGAUAACUUUCAUAAAAGUGUGAUUACUCUGCACUUUCAACGGAAGGAAGAAGUGCUUCAAAGGUCGCCGGAGGUUGAUUAUCAUCUAGAGAGACAGGAUACUGCAGAAACCUUCACCGCCGAUUGUCUUCAUCUCUGUGUGUGGUGGAUCUUUCGUCUCUAUAUGUCGUUCUCCACCCCAGGAGGCUUUUCCUUCACCUCUCCGCUCCUCUGCAAUUAAGGCUGACAGGACAGCUUGCUCUAUUCCGCUGAUGCCAGUACUUAUCAAGACAGAGAGAGAGAGGGAGAGAGAGAGUUCAGGUAUGUUCAUCCAUCAGUCAAGGCCCCUUUUCAACCGCCCACCCUGUCUCCAUCCAUGCC
rnacentral:lncRNA from 1 species